rnacentral:lncRNA from 1 species
UCAACAAACUCAGUUAAUAUCAAAUAAUGCCUCGACCGUCUGUAGAGCAAGUAGCAAAGGGCUUGGUGGUUGGUACCUGAGACCCAAAUUCGAAUCCUAGUUGAUUCAUAUUUUCAGCUAAAUUUAUUUCUAAAUGAAAUAAACCAAGCGGGUAGCGUGCUACCUAUCUCUCUCAAAAAAAAAAAAACUCAGUUAAUAUCGAAUAAUGCCUCGAGUAUAGAUUCGCUAAUCGAUUCAUUU